AUGGCGCGCUGCCGUCGUGCGACGGAUGCUGCAAGUCAUGCUCUGAGGCAUGGGUCCAAGAGUGCUCUUCGCUCGCAGCUUCGCGCACGGAGAGCCGACCGCCCAUCUCAUGUGAUGGGUGGCGAGAGCCGGGUGGUUGCGCCGGAUCCGCAGAGCGUCGCGGAGGGGGAGGAGGUGCAGCGGCUUCCGCGCCGUUGGGAUUCCUGGGCUCCUGCGAAGGGUGGCUCCGCACACGAUCACCAGUGGCCAUGGCAUGGGAACCAUCUCGAUGGUCGUGAGGCCAAUUGUGGGAGUUCUUGA
rnacentral:rRNA from 1 species